UAAGUGGAGGAAAAGAAACUAACAAGGAUUCCCCUAGUAACGGCGAGUGAAGCGGGAAGAGCUCAAAUUUAAAAUCUGGCAGGCUACGCUUGUCCGAAUUGUAAUCUCGAGAAGUGUUUUCCGCGUUGGCCUGUGUACAAGUCCCUUGGAACAGGGCGUCAUAGAGGGUGAGAAUCCCGUCCUUGACACAGACACCCAAUGCUUUGUGAUACACUCUCAAUGAGUCGAGUUGUUUGGGAAUGCAGCUCAAAAUGGGUGGUAAAUUCCAUCUAAAGCUAAAUACUGGCGAGAGACCGAUAGCGAACAAGUACCGUGAGGGAAAGAUGAAAAGCACUUUGGAAAGAGAGUCAAACAGUACGUGAAAUUGUUGAAAGGGAAACGAUUGAAGUCAGUCGUGCCUGCCUAGAUUCAGCCUUCUGGUGUAUUUCUAGGUCGGCAGGUCAGCAUCAGUUUGGGGGGGUUAACAAGGGAGCUGGGAAUGUGGCAACCUCGGUUGUGUUAUAGCCCAGUUUCGCAUUGAUCUCGCUGGACUGAGGAACGCAGUGCGCCCGCAAGGGUUGGUCUUCGGACACAUUCGCACUUAGGAUGCUGGCAUAAUGGCUUUAAACGACCCGUCUUGAAACACG
rnacentral:rRNA from 1 species